rnacentral:rRNA from 1 species
UACGUAGGUGACCAGCGUUGUCCGGAUUUACUGGGCGUAAAGAGCGCGCAGGCGGUCGUUCAAGUCGAGUGUGAAAGCCCCCGGCUCAACUGGGGAGGGUCAUUCGAUACUGAUCGACUGGAAGGCAGGAGAGGGAAGCGGAAUUCCCGGUGUAGUGGUGAAAUGCGUAGAUAUCGGGAGGAACACCAGUGGCGAAGGCGGCUUCCUGGCCUGUUCUUGACGCUGGGGCGCGAAAGCUAGGGGAGCAAACGGG